ACGAACGCUGGCGGCUGCUUAACACAUGCAAGUCGAACGGAGUGGCGAACGGGUGAGUAACGCGUGAGCAACCUGCCUAUGACAGUGGGAUAGCCUCGGGAAACCGGGAUUAAUACCGCAUAGUCAUAGAUGGGCUCGCGUCUGAUUAGCUAGUUGGUGAGAUAACAGACCACCAAGGCGACGAUCAGUAGCCGGUAUGAUAGAAUGAGCGGCGACAUUGGAACUGGGACACGGUGCAAAAUCCUACGGGAGGCAGCAAUGGGGAAUACUGCACAAUGGGGGAAACCCUGAUGCAGCGACGCCGCGUGAACGAAGAAGGUAUUCGUAUCGUAAAGUUCUGUCCUAUGGGAAGCAGUACCAUAGAAGAAAGCUCCGGCUAAAUACGUGCCAGCAGCCGCGGUAAUAC
rnacentral:rRNA from 1 species